rnacentral:rRNA from 1 species
GAUGAACGCUGGCGGCGUGCCUAAUACAUGCAAGUCGAGCGAUCAGACGAGGAGCUUGCUCCUCUGACGUUAGCGGCGGACGGGUGAGUAACACGUGGAUAACCUACCUAUAAGACUGGGAUAACUUCGGGAAACCGGAGCUAAUACCGGAUAAUAUAUUGAACCGCAUGGUUCAAUAGUGAAAGGCGGUUUUGCUGUCACUUAUAGAUGGAUCCGCGCCGCAUUAGCUAGUUGGUAAGGUAACGGCUUACCAAGGCGACGAUGCGUAGCCGACCUGAGAGGGUGAUCGGCCACACUGGAACUGAGACACGGUCCAGACUCCUACGGGAGGCAGCAGUAGGGAAUCUUCCGCAAUGGGCGAAAGCCUGACGGAGCAACGCCGCGUGAGUGAUGAAGGUCUUCGGAUCGUAAAACUCUGUUAUUAGGGAAGAACAAAUGUGUAAGUAACUAUGCACGUCUUGACGGUACCUACUCAGAAAGCCACGGCUAACUACGUG